UUGAAGAAUUUGAAGACUUCAACUUAUAGACUUGGAGAUUUUGAAGACUUCAAGUUGCAAACUUGAAGAUUUUAAAGACUUCAACU
rnacentral:pre_miRNA from 1 species